CAAUAGCGUAUAUUAAAGUUGUUGCAGUUAAAAAGCUCGUAGUUGGAUUUCUGGUGGGAGCGAUCGGUCUGGCGCUUAGCGCGAGUACUUGCAUCGUCUCCGGCCAUCCUUGGGGAGAGUCUGUCUGGCAUUAAGUUGUCGGGCAGAGGAUCCUCAUCGUUUACUGUGAAAAAAUUAGAGUGUUCAAAGCAGGCUUAUGCCGUUGAAUAUAUUAGCAUGGAAUAAUAAGAUAGGACUUUGGUACUAUUUUGUUGGUUUGCGCACCAAAGUAAUGAUUAAUAGGGACGGUUGGGGGUAUUCGUAUUCCGUUGUCAGAGGUGAAAUUCUUGGAUUUACGGAAGACGAACUACUGCGAAAGCAUUUACCAAGGAUGUUUUCAUUAA
rnacentral:rRNA from 1 species